GAUGAACGCUGGCGGCGUGCCUAAUACAUGCGAGUCGAACGCAUAGCGAAAGGUGCUUGCACCUUUCAAGUGAGUGGCGAACGGGUGAGUAACACGUGGACAACCUGCCUCAAGGCUGGGGAUAACAUUUGGAAACAGAUGCUAAUACCGAAUAAAACUUAGUGUCGCAUGACACAAAGUUAAAAGGCGCUUCGGCGUCACCUAGAGAUGGAUCCGCGGUGCAUUAGUUAGUUGGUGGGGUAAAGGCCUACCAAGACAAUGAUGCAUAGCCGAGUUGAGAGCCUGAUCGGCCACAUUGGGACUGAGACACGGCCCAAACUCCUACGGGAGGCUGCAGUAGGGAAUCUUCCACAAUGGGCGAAAGCCUGAUGGAGCAACGCCGCGUGUGUGAUGAAGGCUUUCGGGUCGUAAAGCACUGUUGUAUGGGAAGAACAGCUAGAAUAGGAAAUGAUUUUAGUUUGACGGUACCAUACCAGAAAGGGACGGCUAAAUACGUG
rnacentral:rRNA from 1 species